rnacentral:rRNA from 1 species
AGAGUUUGAUCCUGGCUCAGAUUGAACGCUAGCGGGAUGCUUUACACAUGCAAGUCGAACGGCAGCACGGACUUCGGUCUGGUGGCGAGUGGCGAACGGGUGAGUAAUGUAUCGGAACGUGCCUAGUAGCGGGGGAUAACUACGCGAAAGCGUGGCUAAUACCGCAUACGCCCUACGGGGGAAAGGGGGGGAUCGCAAGACCUCUCACUAUUAGAGCGGCCGAUAUCGGAUUAGCUAGUUGGUAGGGUAAAGGCCUACCAAGGCAGUGAUCCGUAGCUGGUUUGAGAGGACGACCAGCCACACUGGGACUGAGACACGGCCCAGACUCCUACGGGAGGCAGCAGUGGGGAAUUUUGGACAAUGGGGGAAACCCUGUUCCAGCCAUCCCGCGUGUGCGAUGAAGGCCUU